GACAGAGGCCUCGAGCGUUAGGCGGAAUCACUGGGCUUAAAGCGUGUGUAGGCGGAUCGUUAAGUGCCUUGUGAAAUCCCACGGCUUAACUGCGGAACGGCUGGGCAUACUGGCGGUCUUGAGCCAUCUAGGGGCGACUGGAACGAACGGUGGAGCGGUGAAAUGCGUAGAUAUCGUUUGGAACGCCAAUGGUGAAAACAGGUCGCUGGGGAUGAGCUGACGCUGAGACACGAAAGCCAGGGGAGCAAACGGG
rnacentral:rRNA from 1 species